AAUUUGGUAACAUUCUUGGAAAGGAGGCGUUGAAUAUAGAAAGCCCGAUUCUUGAGCCUAGGACAUUGCAUGAUCUUCUAAAUGAAGCCUCAAUCCAUGCAAAUAAUGACGGGUGGGUCCCAUUUAAUAGAAAGGAAAAAGGAAAGAUGUCACAUUCCUCAAAAACUGGCCCAACCAAGGAAAGGUCCACUUUGAAUAAGGUUGGGGGAACGAAACAUGGGCCUACUCAUGAUGGGCUUGGAAAAAUUCCUAAUACUCCAGUGAAUUCCCUUUUGAAGCACAAAAUUGGGGCCUUUUGGAUAAAAACAAUGAAGCUUUCUUGUCACGCCAAGCUGGGAGUGUUGUCUCCAACCACAUGCGCCAGAGACCAGCGUUGCUAAAAGGAUCCCUUGUUGAAGCUCUUAUUCGUACUCGGGGUGGCGAUAAGCAAUACUUUUAUGCUGAAGCGAUGGAUAACACCCAGAAUCUUGGGGAUAGAGGACCCACCAUGUAAUUCUUUUGUUCAUGUUCCAGCUUCUUCAUCUGUGAUUUUUUUAUGGAUCAAUUGAAUAUAAUAAGCUGGAACAUCAAGGGGCAUCCAACAAGAUGUCCUGGAUACACUGUAAGAAUUGGUGCCUCGGAGCUCCUUUGAGGAGGGGUGACCGGCCUUUUAGAUUCCAAGCUACUUGGGCAUCUCAUCCGGAAUAUAAACCUCUAGUCAAGAAAAUUUGGGGGUCUAAUUCCUCAGGUGGGUGCAUCUAAUGGAAAUUAUUUCUAAUCCAAAAGCUUCUUGGAAUUCAAUUCUAAUACUUUUGGCAAUAUUUUUGUCAAUAAGCAUAAGCUUGAAGCUCAGUUGGAAGAAGUUCAGAAAAGUAUGGAGGUUUUUGAUGAUGUUGAGCUUAGGCAGAAGGAAGAAGGGAUUAGGAUGGCACUUAACACCAUUUUAGCACAAGACAAAUUUUUCUGGUUUUAGAAAUCCAGAGAGUAGUGGAUGAGAUAUAGGGACUGUAAUACACAAUUUUUUCUCAUGCGAACCAUUCUCCGAAGAAAAGCAAACAAGAUUCAUGGUCUUCUAACUAGUGACGGUUCUUGGGCCACAGAUCAAGAUGUUUUGCAGUGUGAAGUUCUAAAAUUUUUUAAAAAUCUCUUUUGCUUUACUGAGCAAAUUGAUCUUUAGUGCAUGUGAGAAAUUCCUUCGCCUAGGCUUUAUCAGACUGCUUGUGAUUGCCUUACUCAACUAAUAUCUUUUCUGGAAGUCAAGCAAGUUGUGGAUAGUAUGAGCGCUUUGAAAGCUCCUAGCGCGGAUGGUUUCUAGGCAUUCUUCUUCAAGCAUUACUAGGAUGUUGUAGGGCAAGAAGUUUGGAGGUUUGUUUAGAGUGCUUUUCUUGAUGGUUUCUUGAGUGACUCCUUGGUGAAAAUGCUUAUUAUUCUUAUCUCAGAGUGUGAGACACCUUGUGCCUUCAAGGAUUUUCACCCUAUUAGUCUCUGUAAUGUCAUAUACAAGAUUAUCACCAAGGUUCUAGUUAACAGAUUGCAACCGUUUUUAGGAGAUAAUUAGCCAAACUCAAAAGGGCUUCAUUCAUGGUAGGGGAGCUCUGGAUAAUAUUAUUCUGGCUCAAGAGAUGCUUCAUUUUCUUAAGAGGACUAAGUCAAAGAAAGGUGCCAUUGCCUUUAAGAUUGACUUGGAGAAGGCGUAUGACAGAGUUGAUUGGAGUUUUCUUGAGGAUUCUCUUCCUGUUUUUGGGUUCUCCUAGACUAUCAUCAACUUGAUUAUGAAUUGUGUGAAGGGCUCAAAUCUGUCCAUCUUAUGGAAUGGUGUUAAACUAGAGGGAUUUCAUCCUCGGAUGGGUCUUAGACAAGGAUAUCCCAUGUCACUCUACCUCUUUGUCAUCUGUAUGUAUAGGUUUUGGCUACUUUUAUUGAAUCCUAAGUUAGUUCUAGUGAUUGGGAAGCUAUGGCCAUCUCUCGGGGCAGUCCUCGGACGUUUCAUCUCAUGUUCGCAGAUGAUCUUCUCUUGUUUUGCAAGGCCAGCAGGUCUCAAGUUCAGAACAUCAUGUGAUUUAUAGAACUUUUUAUAAGACUUCAGGUAUGAAGGUAAAUCUUGAGAAAUAAAAAACUUUAUGUUCCAAGAAUGUCUCUAAUAGUCGAAGAGAGGUCUUGACCAGAGUUUCUCAGACUUGGUUGACUAAUAAUUUGGGAAAAUACUUAGGGAUAAACAUUGGGCAUCCCAAAACUUCUAGAGCCAGAUUUGCAGAUUCUUUGAAUAGAAUCAAGUCUAUAGAUUGGCGAAUUGGAAGGGUGGCUUUCUCAAUAGAGCAGGUAGACUUUGUCAGAUUAAAUUUGUGGCUUCUACAUUACAUAUUUAUGAAAUGCAAGUCUCUUUUUUUCCUACCUCUUUUUGAAAGAAAAUUAAUGCUGCAAUAAGGACUUUUCUUUGGAAAGAAAAAUUGAUGAAAGGUUCUUAAAUCUUGUUAAGUGGGAUACAGUUAUUACCCCCCGCAAGUUUGGUGGCCUGGGUAUUAGAGAUAUGAGAUGUGCGAACCUGGCCUUAAUGGUUAAGCUUUUGCGGCAACUCCUUCAUAGCUCUCAUAAGCUUUGGGUCAGAGUUUUGAUUCAUAAAUAUGUAUUGCAUGAUUUUAUUCUAGAGACAAGGAUUCCGAAUCAUGCUUCUGGAAUUUCAAGAAUCAUGAAUACUAAGAGAGUGAUGCAGGGUAGGCUGGCCUGGAGUAUUGGUUCUCUUGAUCAAUCCUUUUGGUUCGAUUCUUGGCACCCAAACGGCUGUCUCGAUAGUUUUGUUCCUUUUGUUCAUAUUACAGACACAAUCUUAAAGGUGGAGGAUGUUUAGUCUCUUGACUAUUGGAAUUGGAAUGUUCUAUACACUCCUAUUAAUGAAGAUUUUAAAAUGAAGUUGUCUAAUAUCUUCUCUGUGUGGCAUGGUGCAACCGAUCUGGAUGGAUUUGGUAUAGUUCCAAUAAUAAGGACUUUUCGACUAAGAGUUGUUAUUGUUGGAUUUUGCAAUAGAAAAUUGCUUGCAAUCGUACUGAUAAUUAUCUCUGGUUGUGGCGGUUGCGAGUUCUACAGAAAAUUAAACUUCUUAUGUGGCUUGGUAUUCAUAAUGCCUGCCAACUAGCCGGCUUCGAUUUUCCAUAGAUCUGGCUAGUUCUGCGGUUUUGUUGGUGCGGAAUUAGAAUACCACAACUGAACCAGCAAGUGCACCGGGUCAUACCAAGUAAUACUUCAGGUGAGUGAGUGUCGAUCCCACAAGGAUUGAUGGAUCAAGCAACAAUGGUUGAAGGAUUCACUUUGUUAAACAAGCAGAAAAGUGUGUUUUGGGGUUCAAAUUGUAUUAAACAGUAAAUCAGAAAUUUAGAAAGCAAGUAAUAAAUUGGAUGUGAAAGUUUUGUGAGAGAACAGUUAAGGUUUCAGAGUUAUUUAUUUUUCCAGAUUAAUAUUUCUUACCAACUAUUUUUAUCAUGCAAGAUCCAAUUCAUGACAAGCCCUAAUUGACUAAACCCUAAUUCCUUAGUAAUUUAGUCUCCUCUAACCUAAUCAACUGCUAAUUUCUUGGUCACUUAAUGUAGAUUAAAAGGUUAAAUCCAAUUCUCGUUUAUUAGCCAUAAAAAUCCUAAUUACUCAAAUAUAAGAGAAUUAUAUGUCACAUAUCCAGUUAAGUCCAGGUAAUUAGUAAUUUAGGAGGAAUUACUUUCAAGCUAGUAUUCAAGUGAGUUAACUUUUCCAAGAAUCAACAAGAAUUCAUGUAGAACAAGAGUUAUUUUCCAAUACAUUCAAAUUCAUAAGAUGAAGAACGAAAGUAAUCCUUGAAUUUAAAUCAAUACAAUAAUUAAAAUAGAGUGACAAUAGUAUUAAUUCAUAGAAUAAACAGAGCUCCUAAUCUUAACAACGGGGGUUUAGUUGCUCGUGGCUCAGAGAAAAAAACUAGGGUUCAAAAGUGUGUAGAGUGUAGAAUGAGGUAGAAGAGAAGAGAGCCUCGAGGGCUAAAUCUUUUCCCUUUUAUAUCUAACCUAAUUUGAUUUGAAAAUAAAAUAGAAUAAUAAAUUCAAAACUUAAAAGAUUGUGUUUUGAAAUAAUAAUAAUAAUGAAAAUAAAAUAAAAUAAAAUAAAUUAUUAAUAAAAAAUCUAAGCCAACAGAGCCUUCUUUAAAAAUCAUAUUUGCGCUACUAGCGCUAAACGCCAGGCGCCGCUGAGGCAGAGAAGUUUCUGGUCUUGCUGUCUUCCUGGCACUAAACGCCAGGUUCAGCAUUUAGAGCCAAUAGCGUGAGAUUCUAUGAGCGCUUUACGAGGUCUUCUGCACUAAAUGCCAGGUCGAGGUGUUUAGCACCAGCUCAAUAGAGAGCUUGCACGUAGUACGAGGCGCUUGGCACCAAACACCAGGUAGCGGCGUUUGGCACCAGCGUGGCAGCAUCAAAUUUCUUCCUUUUUCUUCUGCACAAAUUCUACCAAACAAGCCCAGAUUUUUCCACAAAUAAAUAAAACCACAAUGCGCCUCAAAGUAGCAUCAAAAUAGGCUUCAAGCACUAAGAUCUCAAUAAAACUCAAUAAAUUCACAUCUAAAAUAGUAAGAAAAUAUAGGAAAGAUGCUCACGUAUCUCAACACCAAACUUAAAUUAUUACUUGUCCUAAAGCAACCAAAAAUAACCUGAAUCUGAGUUGUGGGUCUGCCCGAGAAUUGAGUGUUCAAUUAAGCUCCUGUCUCUCCUCUAAGUGGGGUUAACGAUACUGUCAUCUUGAAUAGUUUCGGCAUCUCACUAUUCUUUGAAACUUAGAAAUGUCAAUGUCCUUCAGAACUAGAACUCAGAUAAUAUUAUGAAUUCUCUUCCCUUUUAUCCUCUGAUUAAUCUUUGAACACAACAUUUUCUUUUGUUCUUUUCUUUAGUGCUUUGCACCUUCACCCUAGCCGUGACUUUAAAUGUUUUGUCUCAAGAUUUACUUGACACAGAAACACCAUAAGCACUUAGCUGGAGAACUCUUUGAGUUUUGAUUUUUCUUUUUAUUUUUCCUAUUUAGUGGUGCUCAGAGCCUUUGGCAUACUCUUUACUUGCACUUGGUCUCGACUCUUAGUGCUCUAUCUCAAGAAUUUCUUGACACAUUUACACCACAAGCAUAUGGCUAGGAAAAUAACUCUUUCAUCUU